rnacentral:rRNA from 1 species
UGGGGAAUAUUGCACAAUGGGGGAAACCCUGAUGCAGCGACGCCGCGUGAGCGAAGAAGGCUUUCGAGUCGUAAAGCUCUGUCCUAUGAGAAGAUAAUGACGGUAUCAUAGGAGGAAGCCCUGGCUAAAUACGUGCCAGCCGCCGCGGUAAUACGUAUGGGGCGAGCGUUGUCCGGAAUUAUUGGGCGUAAAGGGUACGUAGGCGGUUUCUUAAGUCAGGUGUCAAAGCGUGGAGCUUAACUCCAUUAAGCACUUGAAACUGAAAGACUUGAGUGAAGGAGAGGAAAGUGGAAUUCCUAGUGUAGCGGUGAAAUGCGUAGAUAUUAGGAGGAAUACCGGUGGCGAAGGCGACUUUCUGGACUUUUACUGACGCUCAGGUCCGAAAGCGUGGGGAGCAAACAGG